CUUUCUCUCGUAUUUAAACUUCUCCAUCCACCUAGCAGCAUGUGCAAAGCCUCUCAGCUUAACGUAUUCCUGAAUUACAUAGGCAAUCGUGCUUGUUCAUGGCUAAUGUUUUUCUUCACAACUUUCUCUAAGCUGUUCUACAUUGGUCUCUGAAUCUUGUAGUAGCUGUUACAGAAGGCAUAUUAUUUCCAUUGUAGUAGCCUCCAAUAUAUUGAAUUGCUGCUAUUUCAUCUGCAGUUAUAUCUUCCUCGAUAUUUGUUGAGGCAGGUGUUGAGAUCUGCAAACUCUUCAAAGUAUUGUGUAAUAUUUGGUGUUGUUUAAAAUGAUGGAGUUUUUGGUAAUUGCUCCUUCAGUAAAGCAUUGCCAGAAUAUUUCAUAAUUUGAAGGACUGGUAAAAGGGAGUAGAGAAUGGAGCAGUUUUGUGUGGGGAAAUUUUGCCUUUGAUGUAGUAAUAGCGAUAUUGCU
rnacentral:lncRNA from 1 species